CGCGAGCGGUCACACGUGUGUUUAAACCUUUAAACGUAUUUUUGUAAAUUUUAUUUAAGAAAGAAGAAAAAAUUUUUAGCACAAGGACGACACGAGCGAUCACACGUGUGCUUAAACCUUUAGAACAUUUUUUUUUGUAAAUUUUGUAAAUAUAAAUAUUUUUUAUUUUUUAUAUGUUAUUAAAUAUAUAUUUUAAAAUAAAUAGAUAUUUAGAAUAAAUAAGUAAAAUAACAACAAUAAAAAUAAGAACAAAAAUAAAAAUAAAUAAAAAGAAUCAAAUAGAAUAAGAUAAAAAAAAAGCCAAUAAAAAAAAAAAACAGGGGGGUGUUCAAAUGAAAAAAUGGGGUGUCUAAACUAUAUUUUUUUUAUUUGAUUUACAGAUUGGGCCUAAACCCAAACGAAAAGAGGGUGUGGAAGUGAGAAACAGGGCCGCGCGAAGGAGAAAGGAGUUUUUUGUUUUCUUGGGCCUGACCCAGCAUUGGCCCAGGGUGGUAUGGGGGUGCGCGGGUGAGAAACGGGGGUGCGUAGGGAAGAAAUUCGUUUUUUAUAUAUUUUUUGGUUUAUUACAGAGAGCUGGGUCGAAAAAAGAAAAAAAAGAGGCCCAAGGCCCUUCCAUUCUUCAGCCAACAUUCCUUGGGGGUCUCCUUCGUUCCACAAUCUCAACUCAAAACAGAGACCUAGGGUCUUCUUCCAAAGUACCCAACGGAGGUAUCUCCACCCCGUCACGCACGCGCGCCACUCUGUCUCAGCCAGAAACGGCCGCAGCCAGCUGCGGCCCAAGCUCUCUGUCGCGACCCAGCCACCACGCCACUGCUUCUUCCGAUCUUGGCGUCGGUGGCACCGAUGGGCUCUCCUAUUCUCCUUUAUCUAUUUUCUGUUUCUGUGCUUAUUGCUUUGAUUGGGUUUGGCUCUUGGAAUGGUUGAUGGAUGAUCCAGUGAGAAAAAUGGGGAUGAAUUUGACGAAUUCUAGAACGGAAAGGGUGGAAAUCCGAGAGGGGCUGAUCACGGGUGUUGGAGAUGAAGGCCCCUGUUGGAGAUGAAGGCUCGUGAGGUAAGGAAGAAGACGAGGGUGAUGAGCAGAGGGGUCAGUGCGACAAAGGGAUGAAGAUUGACGAUGGUCGUUGGCCGUGAGGUAGAGGUGAAUGAAUGGAAUGGGUUAGGUUUGUAAUAUUUUUGUUGAGGCCCGUGUUAAUCACGUACCUGCUUGGAGAGGAUUCCAAAUCCUGAUCGGAUUAGAAGAAGAAGGUAAUGUGAGGAAGUGUGAAUGAAGAUUGUGAUAGAAAACGUGGUGGAGGCAGAGGUUAGGAAAAUGAGUGAAUGAGGAUGAAGGUUGGGGGAUGGUAGGUUUCUGUGAUGUAAAGAAAUUCUGAGGAGGUGAAUGCUUUGAGUGUAUUGGCAUGAAGCUGUGACUCGUUUGAUCCAAAGACAAUGCCACAAAGAAAACCAACAUGACUAUGAACAUUUAAUCAAACAUCAUACGCAUAAAGGAGGCACAUACAAGAGCAAAACCGAAGAGUCUAGGCAUACGAAGACUUACCUUUGCCGCUUCCAGGAAAUGUUUUCUUUUGGUUUUAGUCUCCCUUCUACCCUCCAGUAAUGUUCUCCUUCUUAGUUGUCUCCGGAGCUAGUGGCUGGAUAUGGUCCUGAGCUCUCUCCUGUUCUGUGACGGUGAGGUGUUAGAGAUCCUGGGAGUCUCAAAGUUGUAUUUGGCUGUGGUCCUCUGGAACCCGAUAGGUGGAAGGCAACCACAGAUGAAUUCUUCACAGCUUUAAGAAACUUCUCCUUUGGGUUUGGUUUUUUUCUUCCCUCUUUGCUCUCUUCGAUUUUUCCUUCUGGGCCCCAAAGCUUACAAUGAGAUGAAGGCAAAGGCCAUUCUCCCCCCUUUUCAAAACCAAAACCCCUGCUUUCUGUUGUACCCUGAGAUCUCCUCUGGCGCCAGAUUUCCCUUUUCCCUUUAAUGACUAUGAUGAAAACUCUUUUCAAAAGCCAAACCCCCAAACUCCUCUCUGCCCUGCAUCCUGCGAGCUCUGGGAUAUCUUCUGGCGUGGGAUUUCCCUUUUGUUUCUUUCUUUUCUUCAUGUUCACUGUAUCUGGCAGAAGCUCCCUUUCAGAAAAAAAACCUUCUCUUUUUUGAUGUAUACUGCUGGUCCUCAGUAGAGAAUUAUAGAAAGAGGGUCUCUGCCUUUUGUUACUGCCAUUGUAAAUGUCCAUUUUAAGCAUUGCUUUUGUCAAACGCUGCUUUCUUCCUUUUUCUGAAUGCAUACGGCUGUUUUAUGUUAGAGGAAG
rnacentral:sRNA from 1 species